CACAGCUCUGCUUGUGGUAAUAAAGUACAGCAAUCAUUUUAGUUGGGUCACUGCAUUUCUUGCAUAGACCUGCACCGUUUGCUGAAUAUCUCACGUUUUGUGUUUUUUCUCCUUUAUGUGUGAGCCUGGAUACACUGGAUGCUUGUUAUAUCGAGCUUUAAAUACCACAUUAUAUGCAUCAUUAAAAAAAACAAAGCAUCCCCGUAUGGCCUUUUAUGUUCUGGAAAUGACUGAUGACUGAAAUACAUGUGGCCCGUAUGCAUCAUUUUGGUUUUGUGGACUUGGUUUAUGAGCUGAUUAUGUGGCAAUUUAGCAUACCAUGUGCCCUCAGAUUACUUUAAGAUGACAAGAAAAGCUUUUAAUGGACUGUAUAGCAUAUAGUUUUACUACCUGUGAUUGUCAAUGAGAUGUAUUACAAUUUCCUCGACUGGCAUAUAUGGGCCCAUAUUCAUUUUUAAACAUUUUAAAACACAGCUUGUAAAAUUUAGGUAAAUGCUUAAAGAUAAUUAUUGGACUGUUUAAAUAAUCUCGGUGGUUCAAUAUUGUUUUUCAGACUCCGCUUUCUUUCCGGGACGUUGUGCUGAAAUCCUGGUUGACGGACGCAGCAUCGGAAAAUUGGGUGUCUUACAUCCGGACGUCAUCACAAAGUUUGACCUUACCCUACCAUGCUCUGCUCUUGAAAUAACAGUAGAACCCUUUUUGUGAAAACCCUUUUUUUUUUUUUUUUUUUUGGUGGUACAGUUUUUACACACAUAGCUUUUAGGGUUUAUCGAUAAAAACACAAUUCUGGGGCAAAGAUCUAAAAUUAAAGUAGUUACAAUGGAAACCAAUGGUAUAUUCCUCUGUCGUGUGCCUGUCCUUGGUCUUUUCUCCGGGUUUGCUUUUUCGAAAUAUUCUCACAGUAAAUUUGUUACAAAAGAAGCACAAUACAUUCUCCAGAAUUGUGCUAUGUAUACCCUUGUCUCUAUAGUUUCACUAUAUUCAUGUAUCACAUUGACUGAAUUGCAAUACAACAUCCUCUAACUUUGUAACGAGCUAUAUUUGUUAAAAAUAACCCAUGGGUAUUUAUUAAAGUGAGCUACAUCUGGUGUUUGACUCAUUGUCAUUCUUACUUGGUAUUUGCCCCUUGAUCUAUUUCAAGAUUUGUAUUCCUGGCAUUAUAGUAUCCAUUCAAUUUUAAAUUUUUUUUUUUUUUUUUUAAUAUGUGAAUGGACUACCACUUCUAGCUGUGUUUACUGUAAUGAGGGAAAAACGAGCCUUUGGAUGUUUAUUGGAAACAUUUAUCAGUUUCCUAUCAUGCUCUCUCUUGUUGUGGAUGAAGAAAAAGUAAAGUAUUUGCAACAGUUAAUCAACCAUUUCAG